CACACACACACACACACACACAUACACACUUUUAAUCUUUUGCGAUAUUAUUAGAUUGUUCUUUGCUUAGGAGUUGUAUUAGAAUUAGAUUUGAGUCCAUGCCUUUGACAAGUAGUGCUUUAAAUAUAAAAAGACCCAUUAAUGCUGUCAUGUUUCUGGGCACUAGAAAGCAAGACUUCAUCAGCAUGGCCAUUUAUCAAUGCUAUAUUGUGAAGUAAGUACUUCAUCAUCAUAGCCAUUUUUCAAUGCUAUGUUGUGAAGAAAGUUCGACUAAAGAUUUUAUAUGCCAUUCCCUUGAGCCCUUAAAAGAAUGGUUGCAGAGAGCUGAAAGCUCCAUUCCUUUCCUAGUUUUAAGUAUCAAGAUAAUUCUAUUACCUCCAAAUUUUGAGUCAGACAUUACACACUAGUUAGUUCAUGUUCGAAAUGAUGCACUACCCCUUUAAGUGCCUUAAUAACUUGGUAUUGUAGAAUUAAGCAUGCAGCCAUACACCUGUAUUUGUGUGCUUCCAGGGUGUUCAGGAACAAGUGCUGGUAAUUCGGUUGUCUUGGUCCUUAUUUAUUUAUUUUUGUCCGAACUCUGUGUUAUUAGGUAACACAUGCUGACUUCAAAA
rnacentral:misc_RNA from 1 species